rnacentral:lncRNA from 1 species
ACUAGCAGUAUAAAACACACAACUACAAGUUACUUCAGAACAGAAAAAUUGUACAUAUUAAGAAAUAUAAAGCACACAACAACAAAUUACUUCAGAACAUAACAGAUUGUACACCAGCAGUAUAAAACACACAACUACAAGUUACUUCAGAACAGAACACAUUGAACAUAAGAAAUAUAAAACACACAACAACAAAUUACUUAAGAACAUAACAGAUUGUACACCAGCAGUAAAAAAACACACAACAACAAGUUACUUCAGAACAGAACACAUUGAACAUAAGAAAUAUAAAACACACAACAACAAAUUACUUCAGAACAUAACAAAUUGUACACCAGCAGUAAAAACAUACAACUGCAAGUUACUUCAGAACAUAACAAAUUGUACAUAAGAAAUAUAAAACACACAACUACAAGUUACUUCAGAACAGAACAAAUUGUACAUAAGAAAUAUAAAACACACAACAACAAAUUACUUCAGAACAUAACAGGUUGCACACCUGCAGUAUAAAACACAACUACAAGUUACUUCAGAACAUAACAGAUUGUACACCAGCAGUAUAAAACACACAACUUCAAGUUACUUCAGAACAGAACAAAUUGUACAUAUUAAGAAAUAUAAAGCACACAACAACUAAUUACUUCAGAACAUAACAGAUUGUACACCUGCAGUAUAAAGCACAAAACUACAAGUUACUUCAGAACAUAACAGAUUGUACACCAGCAGUAUAAAACACAUAACUAUAAGUUACAUCAGAACAUAACAGAUUGUACACCAGCAGUAUAAAACACAUAACUACAAGUUACAUCAGAACAUAACAAAUUGUACAUAAGCAGUAUGAAGCACAACAACAAAUUACUUCAGAACAUAACAAAUUGUACAUAAGCAGUAUAAAGCACAAAACUACAAAUUACUUCAGAAAAUAACAGAGUGUACACCAGCAGUAUAAAACACUCAACUACAAAUUACUUCAGAAAAUAACAGAGUUGUACACCAAGGCAGUAUAAAACACUCAAUAAACUACAAAUUACUUCAGAACAUAACAGAUUGUACACCAGCAGUAUAUAAAACACACAACUACAAAUUACUUCAGAAAAUAACAGAGUGUACACCAGCAGUAUAAAACACUCAACUACAAAUUACUUCAGAACAUAACAGAUUGUACACCAGCAGUAUAAAACACAUAACUACAAGUUACAUCAGAACAUAACAAAUUGUACAUAAGCAGUAUAAAACACACAACUACAAGUUACUUCAUACCAUAACAAAUUGUACAUCAGCAGUAUAAAACACACAAUUGCAAGUUACUUCAUACCAUAACAGAUUGUUCAUAAGCAGUAUAAAACACACAACCACAAGUUACUUCAGAACAUACAAAUUGUACAUAAGCAGUAAAAAAACACACAACAACAAGUUACUUCAGAACAGAACAAAUUGUACAUAAGAAAUAUAAAACACACAACAACAAAUUACUUUAGAACAUAACAGAUUGUACAUAAGCAGUUAAAAAACACACAACUACAAGUUACUUCAGAACAUAACAGAUUGUACAUAAGCAGUAUAAAACAUGCAACUACAAGUUACUUCAGAACAGAACAAAUUGUACAUAAGAAAUAUAAAACACACAACAACAAAUUACUUCAGAACAUAACAGAUUGUUCAUAAGCAGUAU